UACGAAGGGGCUAGCGUUGUUCGGAUUUACUGGGCGUAAAGCGCACGUAGGCGGAUUGUUAAGUCAGGGGUGAAAUCCCGGAGCUCAACUCCGGAACUGCCUUUGAUACUGAAGAUCUUGAGUUCGGGAGAGGUGAGUGGAACUGCGAGUGUAGAGGUGAAAUUCGUAGAUAUUCGCAAGAACACCAGUGGCGAAGGCGGCUCACUGGCCCGAUACUGACGCUGAUGCACGAAAGCGUGGGGAGCAAACAGG
rnacentral:rRNA from 1 species